AUGAACGCUAGCGACAGGCCUAACACAUGCAAGUCGAGGGGCAGCACAAGGAGCAAUCUGAGGUGGCGACCGGCGCACGGGUGAGUAACACGUAUGCAACCUGCCUGUAAGCGGGGAAUAACCCGUUGAAAGACGGACUAAUACCGCAUAAUACUAAAUUACUGCAUGGUAAUUUAUUUAAACAUUUAUGGCUUACAGAUGGGCAUGCGCAUGAUUAGCUAGUUGGAGAGGUAACGGCUCCCCAAGGCAACGAUCAUUAGGGGUUCUGAGAGGAACGGUCCCCCACACUGGUACUGAGACACGGACCAGACUCCUACGGGAGGCAGCAGUGAGGAAUAUUGGUCAAUGGACGAGAGUCUGAACCAGCCAAGUCGCGUGCAGGAAGAAUGUCCUAUUGGAUUAGUAAACUGUCUUUUGCAGGGGAAUAAAGUGCAUCACGUGUGAUGUUUUGUAUGUACUCUGCGAAUAAGGAUCGGCUAACUCCGUGCCAGCAGCUGC
rnacentral:rRNA from 1 species